UACGGGGGGGGUAAGCGUUGUUCGGAAUUACUGGGCGUAAAGGGCUCGUAGGCGGCCAACUAAGUCAUACGUGAAAUCCCUCAGCUUAACUGGGGAACUGCGUCUGAUACUGGAUGGCUUGGAUUCGGGAGAGGAAUGCGGAAUUCCAGGUGUAGCGGUGAAAUGCGUAGAUAUCUGGAGGAACACCGGUGGCGAAGGCGGCAUUCUGGACCGGCAUUGACGCUGAGGCGCGAAAGCCAGGGGAGCAAACGGG
rnacentral:rRNA from 1 species